GUGAAAUUGUUGAAAGGGAAACGUUUGACACCAGUCAUGUGGGUGGAAAAUCAGUCUUUUGCAUUGGGGAGUUGUAAAGGUUCGGACCGCAAGGCCGGCUUUUGCUUCAUCUUUGGUGUAAGGGAUGCACUUUUUCAUCUACAGGUCAACAUCAGUUUCUUUUGCUGGACAAAACUCCGAGAGAAGGUAGCAGCUUAGGCUGUGUUAUAGUUCUGGAGCGAUACAGUGAAGGGGACUGAGGUUUUCGCAGCGUGUGCUCUCGGGCAAGGCUGGAUGGGUGCUAUGGGAUCGUUCGGGGUACAAUGCCUGGCAUUUUGCUUCGUGUCUUUUCUAUACUCGCUCAACUCAGCUCUUCCACGCUUAGGAUGUUGACUUAAUGGUUUUAAACGACCCGUCUUGAAACACGGACCAAGGAGUCUAACAUAUAUGCAAGUGUUUGGGUGGCAAACCCAUGCGCGUAAUGAAAGUGAACGUAGGUGCGAUCCGCAAGGUGCAGCAUCGACCGAUCUUGAUAUUUUUGGAUAGAUUUGAGUAAGAGCAUAUAUGCUGGGACCCGAAAGAUGGUGAACUAUGCCUGAAUAGGGUGAAACCAGAGGAAACUCUGGUGGAGGCUCGUAGCGAUUCUGACGUGCAAAUCGAUCGUCAUAU
rnacentral:rRNA from 1 species